UACGAAGGGGCUAGCGUUGCUCGGAAUCACUGGGCGUAAAGGGUGCGUAGGCGGGUUUCUAAGUCAGAGGUGAAAGCCUGGAGCCUCAACUCCAGAACUGCCUUUGAUACUGGAAGUCUUGAGUAUGGCAGAGGUGAGUGGAACUGCGAGUGUAGAGGUGAAAUUCGUAGAUAUUCGCAAGAACACCAGUGGCGAAGGCGGCUCACUGGGCCAUUACUGACGCUGAGGCACGAAAGCGUGGGGAGCAAACAGG
rnacentral:rRNA from 1 species